GAUGAACGCUAGCGGCAGGCCUAACACAUGCAAGUCGAGGGAGAGGUUACCUUCGGGUCACCAAAACCGGCGCACGGGUGCGUAACGCGUAUACAAUCUGCCUUUCACAUAGGGAUAGCCCGAAGAAAUUUGGAUUAAUACCUAAUGGUAUAUAAAAGCUGCAUCGUUUUUAUAUUAAAGCUACGGUAGUGAAUGAUGAGUAUGCGGUCUAUUAGCUAGUUGGAGAGGUAACGGCUCCCCAAGGCGACGAUAGAUAGGGGUUCUGAGAGGGAUGUCCCCGACACUGGUACUGAGAUACGGACCAGACUCCUACGGGAGGCAGCAGUGAGGAAGAUUGGACAAUGGUAGGAAGACUGAUCCAGCCAUGCCGCGUGCAGGAUGAAGGUCCUAUGGAUGGUAAACUGCUUUUGUAAGGGAAGAAUAAGAGCUACGUGUAGUUUGAUGACGGUACCUUACGAAUAAGCAUCGGCUAACUCCGUG
rnacentral:rRNA from 1 species